CCCAGUUUGCCCUUAUUGAAAAUGGUUCAAAGUGGGAAAGAGAGAGACUUAUUUGCCUUCAGAAGAGCCCAGCACCUGGUCUCUUCUUGUUGGUUUGUUUGUAUGCUUGCUGAGGAGGAGCUCGAAACCAGCUUGCAUACUGCAACUGUCUCUGCCUAAGAAGCAGACUUCGCCUCAAUAUCAUCAGCCAUGUGAAUUAGACACAGCAUACAUACCUUCCGAUUAAAAUAGCUCCAGUGCAGAGGAAGUGAGGUCUGAAU